rnacentral:rRNA from 1 species
GGGCCCGCACAAGCGGUGGAGCAUGUGGUUUAAUUCGAUGAUACGCGAGGAACCUUACCAGGGCUUAAAUGUAAGUUGCAUAAGUUAGAGAUAGCUUUUUCUUCGGACUACUUACAAGGUGCUGCAUGGUUGUCGUCAGCUCGUGCCGUGAGGUGUCAGGUUAAGUCCUAUAACGAGCGCAACCCCUGUUGUUAGUUGCCAGCGAGUCAAGUCGGGAACUCUAACAAGACUGCCGGUGCAAACCGCGAGGAAGGUGGGGAUGACGUCAAAUCAUCACGGCCCUUACGUCCUGGCUACACACGUGCUACAAUGGCCGGUACAGAGAGCAGCCACUACGCGAGUAGGAGCGAA